rnacentral:lncRNA from 1 species
CUUUAACGUCUUGUUACACAGGCAGUCCUGAGGGUGUUCAAAGAGACCCAAAUUCUGCUGUCUGCAGAGCUGCUAGCUCUGCAAGGCCCGAGCCAGCCGUGAUGGGAGUUAAUGCUACGAACUCACCAAGUUUCUCUUACCUAAAGGCACCUGGGAGUAAGAAAACAUCCUAAAUCGUGUCUGGAGAUGUCUCCGAAUGAUUAGCUAGUUUGGAUCAAUCCUCUCAGAGCUCUAAGAUGAGCCAAAAGUGGAAAUAAGAGGUCAUGGAAACAAAAAUGAAGCAUAGGCCACAAAUGGGAAGAUUCUAAUAGCAUAUGAGUUUACAUAGCUGAUUUUUAUACAAACACAGAUAUAAGAAGAGACAUAUUAACCUAGGUGUUAAUGUAUGGGUUGC